GAACGAUCGAAAAUAUUUGCAAUGAUAACUUUGUAGAUGAAAUAACGUAUAAACAAUGGACUCAAGUAGAUCGAUGUUCUUUGGAAACGAUUGUGAAAUCAACUGAUGAUUUCGUUGAUAAUUUGGUAGAAUCUAUUCCAAAAUUCCUUCAGCAUGAUUUUAUUGCUCGUCAACAGGCUGAAUUUUUUCAAACUACGAAAAAUAAUCUCGAAGUUGGACAAGUACUUGUUGUUGCUGACUUCUCAGAAAAUUACUCAUUUUUACUUCAAAACAGUGUCCAAGGAGCUUAUUGGAAUAAUAGUCAAGCGACAAUCCAUCCAUUUGCUUGCUAUUAUAGAUCCAUUGAUGAAAAUGUCGACAAUAUAGUACCUCUAAAUUUGAUAAUCAUUUCAGACAACUUGACGCAUAAUACAACAGCAGUUUAUAGUUUCCAGGAAGUACUGACAUCGUUUCUGAAAAAUAAAAUCCCAGACAUUUCUAAAAUAAUUUAUUUUUCGGAUGGUGCAGCAUCUCAAUAUAAAAAUCGGUACAAUUUGCUGAACUUGCUGCAUCAUGAGGAAGAUUUUCAAAUACCAGCGGAAUGGCAUUAUUUUGCAACUUCACAUGGAAAAGGUCCAAGUGAUGGUUUAGGCGGAACAUUAAAACGGAAGGUUGACAGAGCCAACCUCCAAUCUAAAGCUGACGACCAAAUUCAAACACCUGAUGAGCUAUUCCAAUGGGCAAAAGAAAAUGUUCACGGAAUCAAUUGUGACUUUGUUUCAAAUGAGCAGAUUCAGCGUACUCAAAAAAAACUUAACCAGAGAUUUAAAAAUGCUCUGCCAGUACAAGGAAUCCGAAAUUGUCAUGCCGCUAUUCCCAUUUCAAAUGAUGUGAUGAGAGUAAAAACCUCAUCCUCAUCUGAGGAAGGAAAGGAUUUUCGGUUAAAAAAUACAGAUAUCUACGAGUUCGUUGAAGAACCAUAUAUUAAAAGCAGGUUAAGAAAAAGAAAAGGAGCAACAACAGUAACUGAAGAAUUGAAGAAAAAAAAUUUUUCGUAACAGAAUGUCAAGUAAACUUACACGUAAAAAGCCCUAUUAAAUAAAUUAAUAACCAAUAAUAAACAAAUAUCAUUAA